rnacentral:rRNA from 1 species
GAUCCUGGUUCAGGAUGAACGCUAGCUACAGGCUUAACACAUGCAAGUCGAGGGGCAUCAGGGUGUAGCAAUACACCGCUGGCGACCGGCGCACGGGUGAGUAACACGUAUCCAACCUGCCCUUUACUCGGGGAUAGCCUUUCGAAAGAAAGAUUAAUACCCGAUGGUAUAACAUGACCUCCUGGUUUUGUUAUUAAAGAAUUUCGGUAGAGGAUGGGGAUGCGUUCCAUUAGGCAGUUGGCGGGGUAACGGCCCACC